CCAUUAGAUGUCCUGGGCCGCACGCGCGCUACACUGAGUGUCUGAGAUACGAGUCUGCCUGGUCCGGCAAGGUCUAGGUAAUCGCUAAAAGACACAUCAUGCUUGGGAUAGAUUAUUGCAAAUAUUAAUCUUGAACGAGGAAUUCCUAGUAAGCGCAAGUCAACAGCUUGCGUUGAUUACGUCCCUGCCCUUUGUACACACCGCCCGUCGCUACUACUGAUUGGAUGUUUAAGCGAGGUUCUCGAACUGCUAGCGACUUAGCUUCGGUGAGGUCGCAGUGUGGGAAGUGAACCUAGCUUUGGUGUCUAGAGGAAGUAAAAGUCGUAACA
rnacentral:rRNA from 1 species